UGAGGGAUAGCUCAGUUGGUGGAGCAUGAGAUUCUUAAUCUCAGAAUCGUGGGUUCAAGCCCCGCAUUGGGCAAAA